AUGGAUGGCCAUCUUGCGGCAAUUUUCGGUGUCGUUCCCUUCUUGAAGGCAUCGCCGUUGAGAAGUUCCAGACCACCAUCUGCUACAUCUGGGGUAAACCCUAGAUCAGUAGAUUGGAUAACAGCGGCGCUCUUGUGUCAUUUCCCCCUUAGGGGCGUCAUUCUUGGAGGUGUACACGGGCUCGAGGGACCAGUGAAUGGUAUUUUGGUGGAGCGGUGCUUCAUCCUACACAUUGAUGGCGGCGGAUCUUGGCGGCGUGGCGCAGUGGAAACGCGGUGUUCGAUGUGUGGUGAUGGACUCGCGCAGGAGGACGACGUUGUCUGGCGUCGUGGUGGCGUCGAUAGUAGAGAGGCCUGGCAAGGCCGAUGUGUCAGUAUCUACUCUGAAGAUGGGUCGUUGGAAGAUGGUGGUGACGGCCAUUGCAGUGUGUGUAUGUGGUGCCAACUGAGAGUGUGCCGGAGCGGUGUGUGA
rnacentral:rRNA from 1 species